AGGAACCCGGUGCGAGUCCGGGACGGUCCCGCCACUGUGACCGGGGAGCGACCCGCUGACGCGACAGCACGCCACGGCCCUGCGGCCGGUGCGGCCGGCGCGCAGGGCCGCGGCACACCACGGCUUCCGGGCCGAGGUGGCGGCGGCACACCACGGCCCGCGGGCUGGAAGGUGGGCGGGAAACGGCGAUCCGGGAGUCAGGAGACU
rnacentral:ncRNA from 2 species